AUUGAACGCUGGUGGCAGGCCUAACACAUGCAAGUCGAACGGUAGCACAGAGAGCUUGCUCUCGGGUGACGAGUGGCGGACGGGUGAGUAAUGUCUGGGAAACUGCCUGAUGGAGGGGGAUAACUGCUGGAAACGGUAGCUAAUACCGCAUAAUGUCGCAAGACCAAAGAGGGGGACCUUCGGGCCUCUUGCCAUCGGAUGUGCCCAGAUGGGAUUAGCUAGUAGGUGGGGUAAUGGCUCACCUAGGCGACGAUCCCUAGCUGGUCUGAGAGGAUGACCAGCCACACUGGAACUGAGACACGGUCCAGACUCCUACGGGAGGCAGCAGUGGGGAAUAUUGCACAAUGGGCGCAAGCCUGAUGCAGCCAUGCCGCGUGUAUGAAGAAGGCCUUCGGGUUGUAAAGUACUUUCAGCGGGGAGGAAGGGGUUGAGUUUAAUACGCUCAAUCAUUGACGUUACCCGCAGAAGAAGCACCGGCUAACUCCGUGCCAGCCGCCGCCGUAAUAC
rnacentral:rRNA from 1 species